GACGAACGCUGGCGGCGUGCUUAACACAUGCAAGUCGAACGGAAAGGCCCUGCUUUUGUGGGGUGCUCGAGUGGCGAACGGGUGAGUAACACGUGAGUAACCUGCCCUUGACUUUGGGAUAACUUCAGGAAACUGGGGCUAAUACCGGAUAGGAGCUCCUGCUGCAUGGUGGGGGUUGGAAAGUUUCGGCGGUUGGGGAUGGACUCGCGGCUUAUCAGCUUGUUGGUGGGGUAGUGGCUUACCAAGGCUUUGACGGGUAGCCGGCCUGAGAGGGUGUCCGGCCACAUUGGGACUGAGAUACGGCCCAGACUCCUACGGGAGUCAGCAGUGGGGAAUAUUGCACAAUGGGCUGAAGCCUGAUGCAGCAACUCCGCGUGCGGGAUGACGGCCUUCGGGUUGUAAACCGCUUUCGCCUGUGACGAAGCGUGAGUGACGGUAAUGGGUAAAGAAGCACCGGCUAACUACGUG
rnacentral:rRNA from 1 species